CUGUGUAAUUGUGUGUGAAAAGGGCAAACAAUUGCGCUUAUUAAGAUUUUUGAUCAAUUCGAAUAUUUCUUAUUAAGUUAUGUGUAAGCAAACACUCGAGCAAGUUUGUUGUCUCGCAGCAGCUGUCUACUUAAUACAAAAAUUCGCAACCCCAACAAGUUUUAUUAACGUUGAAACUUUGUGCAUAUUGCAUGCAUCAAAUGGCAUAACAACAGCAACAACAACAACAACAACAAGGAUAACAAACUUCUUCACUUGCAACAUUUUUUAUGACAAAGAAUGAAAUGAGAUGAAAUUAUUGACGGGAGAAAAAAAUAACGGAAAUCGCUGGCAAUAGUCAAAGGAAAUAAAAGCGAAAUUACUUUUGAUAAAGCAACAACAAGAAGAAGCAAAUACGAAAGGAAGAAGAUGAGCAAGGACUUACACUAAAACUACACAUACACACACGCACACACGCACACGCUCACACUCGUAAAAAGGCAGCAGGAAGUUAAAUAGAAGAGGGCGUUGAUUUGUCACAACUAGAGAAUUAUGAGAGCUACGAUGCGUGGACUGUGCCAGCUGCCUGCAACAACAACAACAACAAUAACAACAACAGGAGCAACGACAACAAACACUUCAAUUACCGGAAAACGUGUCUGAUAAUACCUCCCGAGAUUUCAGCCCAGCAGCCAACAAGAAAAAAACUUCUGUAUAUAGUUUAUACCCUGUAAAUAAUGAAAGCUUGGAUAUGUUGAGUUGCUGGGAAUAUAAAAGAGAUCUGAAAACGAGCUUACCUCACACUCCACUUCAACCGCUAACGAAGCGCUCAACUGUCACAACAACAGUUCCACAUGUGAGCAAUAAUCCUCAGCAGAAACCGCUCAGCGAACUGCGACGCCGGGACAUAUGCAAAAAGCACAGGACCUCAACGGAAGGAUACGCAAAAUGGCAUAAAAAAGAGAGCAUAUCUAUAAAUGUAUCUACAGAGCAACAGGAAGCACGUGGAAACGUAUGCAAAACACACGAUCUUAACCCCUUGUUGCCGCAUGCAUUUCCUUUGCAGCUCAUAUGUGAGCAUGAGCGAGUGUGUGUGUGUGUGUGCGUGUGUGUGGCGACAUGAUUUUGAUUUAGUGGCACUUUCAAGGCACAAACACUCCACACAACCCACGCAUGGCCCGUCGGCCUGCCUAUAAAUUCAAUUUGCGUAUUUCUUGAUGCAGAAAUGCGUCAACGGCAGCCCGGAAACUCGGAUAAAAAAGUGAGCAAAGUGGCGUCUGGCAGAGCGACAACUUAAUGCACUACCAAUUAUAACUCAAUUUUCAUAAAUAAGACGACGCACAAAAAAAAAACACAACACGCAGGAGCUGAGAGCCAGGGCUAAAAAGGGGUUUCGGCUUCGAUACGCCUUGACAACUUUAUGCUUUGAUUUUGGUACUGGCAAAAAAAAUAAAAAUUGAGGGAAAUUUAUGAAAUAUGAAACAACCGCAUGUGUGUAAACAGUUGGUUGAGUGAGAGUGAAAGGCCAUAAAGCAGGCAUAGGGGAAGGAGCAGAGGCAGGAGAAGGAGCAGCAACAAAGGCAGAGGUAGAGGUAGGGCAGGAGUCGAAACAGAGUCAGUGGCAAGAGCAGGAGUGUUGGAGGCCUUUGCAACCCCUCAACCCCUCUGCUCGUUAGGUCGUUUA